UACGUAGGGCGCAAGCGUUGUUCGGAAUUAUUGGGCGUAAGGAGCUCGUAGGCGGCUUGUCACGUCGGGUGUGAAAGCCCGGGGCUUAACCCCGGGUCUGCAUUCGAUACGGGCAGGCUAGAGUGUGGUAGGGGAGAUCGGAAUUCCUGGUGUAGCGGUGAAAUGCGCAGAUAUCAGGAGGAACACCGGUGGCGAAGGCGGAUCUCUGGGCCAUUACUGACGCUGAGGAGCGAAAGCCAGGGGAGCAAACGGG
rnacentral:rRNA from 1 species